rnacentral:rRNA from 1 species
AUUGAACGCUGGCGGCAGGCUUAACACAUGCAAGUCGAGCGGAGAUGAGGUGCUUGCACCUUAUCUUAGCGGCGGACGGGUGAGUAAUGCUUAGGAAUCUGCCUAUUAGUGGGGGACAACAUUCCGAAAGGAAUGCUAAUACCGCAUACGUCCUACGGGAGAAAGCAGGGGAUCUUCGGACCUUGCGCUAAUAGAUGAGCCUAAGUCGGAUUAGCUAGUUGGUGGGGUAAAGGCCUACCAAGGCGACGAUCUGUAGCGGGUCUGAGAGGAUGAUCCGCCACACUGGGACUGAGACACGGCCCAGACUCCUACGGGAGGCAGCAGUGGGGAAUAUCGGACAAUGGGGGGAACCCUGAUCCAGCCAUGCCGCGUGUGUGAAGAAGGCCUUAUGGUUGUAAAGCACUUUAAGCGAGGAGGAGGCUACUGAGACUAAUACUCUUGGAUAGUGGACGUUACUCGCAGAAUAAGCACCGGCUAACACUGUGCCAGCCGCCGCAGUAAUAC